UGCAACUGUUCUGUUGUUGCCACCCUCUC
rnacentral:piRNA from 1 species